GGAGGGAUGGCCGAGUGGUCGAUGGCGGUGGUCUUGAAAACCACUGAACCGGGAACGGUUCCGGGGGUUCGAAUCCCUCUCCCUCCGCCA
rnacentral:tRNA from 1 species